UACGGAGGGUGCAAGCGUUAUUCGGAUUUACUGGGUUUAAAGGGAGCGUAGGUGGGUCGGUAAGUCAGUGGUGAAAUCUUCGAGCUUAACUCGGAAACUGCCAUUGAUACUAUCGAUCUUGAAUUAUCUGGAGGUAAGCGGAAUAUGUCAUGUAGCGGUGAAAUGCUUAGAUAUGACAUAGAACACCCAUUGCGAAGGCAGCUUACUGCGGAUAUAUUGACACUGAGGCUCGAAAGCGUGGGGAUCAAACAGG
rnacentral:rRNA from 1 species